rnacentral:antisense_RNA from 1 species
CUGGAGCGCAGCGGAGACCUCGGCAUCUGCGGUGCUCGGGAUUGUGUCCCCUACGGUCUCUUACCGUGCCUCCCGAUGGUGGGAGCUGGAAUUUGGUCCCCAGACCCCUUGGGAAGACGCGCACACCCUGGCAAACCAUGUGUACACCCGCGGUAGAAGCAGGUCUUCAAGACCAAGGAACACCUACACUCCAGGUGUCUCCUUGCCAGAUGUUUCACCUGCAUUGGUAAAAGGCAGAAUCCUCGGCAGGGGUCGGUGGCUCACGCUUGUAAUCCCAGCACUUUGAGACGCCGAGGCGGGUGGAUCACGAGGUCAGGAAUUCAAGACCAGCCUGGCCAAGAUGGUGGAACCCCGUCUCUACUAACAGCACAAAAAUUAGCUGGGCCUGGUGGCGCAUGCCUGUAAUCCCAGCUAAUGGGAAGGCUGAGGCAGAGAAUGGCUUGAACCCAGGAGGCAGAGGUUGCAGUGAGCCGAGAUCACGCCACUGCACUCCAGCCUGGGCGACAGAGCAUGACUCCAUCUCAAAAAAAAAAAAAAGAAUCCUGGGAUGAGCUCCCCCCCCCGCCCCCCCACCAGCCGAGGGACAGGCCUGAGGGAAACGCUGACCAGUUUGUGUGAACGCCAUCACCCACACUCUUGAAAUAUAUCUGGAAAGUGCCGGAAGUGAACUGGGGGAUCCUUGCCUCCCAAAACAGGGAUGGGCUCUGAACGCCCCACCACGGCCUGCUGCCACGCGCGCCUCUCGCUGCAGGAGCGGUGGAUCCACCGAUGGGCUUCCAGGGCGGUCUUGCGCUUGAAGCCUUUCCCACACUCCACGCAGGGGAAGGGCCGGCUGUCGGAGUGAAUGCGCCGGUGACUGAGGAGGAGGGAAGAAUAGGUGAAGCGGCGGCCGCAGUCAGGACAGGGGUAGGGCUUCUCGCCGGUGUGUAUGCGCCUGUGGAUGGCCAGCAGGGAGGU